GUUUUGAUGACUGACGAGUGAGUGACUACUGAACACUAACUAAACGUCUAAACGUUUAACGUGAUAAUAAUAGACCUUCUUUAAAUGCUGCUAGUAGAAGUCUGAUAAGGUGGACUGCGUGUGAACCGAGAAGGGGUUCUAGCGAGUAAAUUGUUCGGUGCUGUUGUAGUAUCGUAAUACGCUGCUUAUAUUGAUAGAAAUUAUUUUUGAAAUGAACAUUUCGAAAAAAUAUAAAUCAAAAAGGAUACGACCACCAUACAAUGAAGUGAAUAAAAUUGAUUCCAUCCCAUAUCGGCGUUUCACCGAAAAAUUGGCGACGAAAACAGCAAGAUCUUUCGACCUAAAAUAUAUUCAUACUGAAAUUCAUGCCCUUAAAAUAAAAUGUCGUUCCCCAUGGUCACAUCUGUUUGGAAAAACAAAUAAAAAUCAAACUCUCUAAUCUACCAAAAUGGCUAGAUCUCUUAAUUAAUGUUAGGUACUUGACAUGAGGAGAUUGUGGUCACUAAAGUGAACAUUGGACAUACAAGACUCUAAUGUGUAAAGAACCUGAACCCAUGUUUUGAACGAGUCCUUGCGUACUCUUUGUGAAGCACUUAUGUAUUCUUUGAAUCAUCUCAUCGAAGUAACAUUCGGUCUCGGGCAAGAAUAAAAAAUUAUAGAUUUCUUUAUGACAACCGAAUUUACAGCAAGUAUCAAGAACAACACACCACCCACCAAUUAAAGGUAUGAUCUAUAAUCUAUAUUACCAAAAUUUUAAUAUUAUAAUUAAAAUAAUUAUCGCAAUUGUCUAAAAUUGUUUAACCAUUUUUUUCUAAUAAAUACUGUAUUUGAAGUUAUAAUCUGAAAAAAAAUAUUUAUAUUAUGUAAUA